rnacentral:rRNA from 1 species
UACGGAGGGUGCAAGCGUUAUCCGGAUUCACUGGGCUUAAAGGGUGCGUAGGUGGGCAGGUAAGUCAGUGGUGAAAUCCCCGAGCUUAACUUGGGAACUGCCGUUGAUACUAUCUGUCUUGAAUAUUGUGGAGGUGAGCGGAAUAUGUCAUGUAGCGGUGAAAUGCUUAGAUAUGACAUAGAACACCAAUUGCGAAGGCAGCUCACUACACAAUCAUUGACGCUGAGGCACGAAAGCGUGGGGAUCAAACAGG